rnacentral:snRNA from 1 species
UCUCCUGAUACGUUUUGAGACU